UCUGGUGCGUGAAGAGGAAGCA
rnacentral:siRNA from 1 species